AGCAGUGGGGAAUAUUGCACAAUGGGCGCAAGCCUGAUGCAGCCAUGCCGCGUGUAUGAAGAAGGCCUUCGGGUUGUAAAGUACUUUCAGCAGUGAGGAAGGUGGAUAUGUUAAUAGCAUAUUCAUUUGACCGUUAGCUGCAGAAGAAGCACCGGCUAACUCCGUGCCAGCAGCCGCGGUAAUACGGAGGGUGCGAGCGUUAAUCGGAAUUACUGGGCGUAAAGCGCAUGCAGGUGGUUUGUUAAGUCAGAUGUGAAAGCCCGGGGCUCAACCUCGGAAUUGCAUUUGAAACUGGCAAACUAGAGUACUGUAGAGGGGGUAGAAUUUCAGGUGUAGCGGUGAAAUGCGUAGAGAUCUGAAGGAAUACCGGUGGCGAAGGCGGCCCCCUGGACAGAUACUGACACUCAGAUGCGAAAGCGUGGGGAGCAAACAGGAUUAGAUACCCUGGUAG
rnacentral:rRNA from 1 species